rnacentral:lncRNA from 1 species
CUGCCAUGUGAGAUACCUGCCCCUACUUUGCCUUCUUCCAUGAUUGGAAGCUUCCUGAGGCCACCCCAGAGUCAGAAGCCACUAUGCUUCCUGUACAGCUUGCAGAACCCUCCUCCAUUAACCCCUGCAGAGUAUUCACUGACUGCUGAAACUAGAGCAUCACUGAGAAGCAAGAGAUAGACUGACCUAACUAGAGGGAGAGCUGCCGUCCAGGAUGAUGCCACCAUGACAGGAGCAAUGUGAGGAAAGUGGAAUGAACUUGGACUUUGAAGGCAAACUAACCUGGAAUCAAAUACUGGCUCUGCUGUUUGCAAGUGUGAUCUUUGGGUGUGCUUCCUAAUCUGUGAGCUUCAACUUCCUUCUCUGUAAACCAAGAUCAAAGACAAACAGGGAAACCUACUUGUCUGGUGCCCAUCCCCUUGGCAGAACACUCCUCUGAAGGAUGACAGUUUGGCUGUGCCAGGGCAGAGCUGCCCACACCAAAUAAGCCUUCAUAGCAACUAUCUGAUGAGGAACUCACUGGCCUACCUUUCCUUGACAGCUGGGGCCUGCCAGCCUUGAAGCAUGACUCCACAACGCCCCUACCCAAGGCCAUGGAGGUUGCUGCUGAUGAGCAAGCUGUUUUAUAUUUAAUCCAGGUUUCUGCUUGGAGAGGAAGAAGGUAGAGGAGCCAGCGAAGGUUUGUUUGAAUGAUACUUGCAGAAAAAACACUGGUAGCAGUCACAAAACUUUGAAAAUUAAAGUGCCAGCGAGGUGGCUUUUGGUGGCCAGAUGAAAGCUGUUAACCCCAGCUUUUACAAAUGCUGGGCUUUUGAGUAAGAGGAGAGUGUCUUUCUGGAAAAGUCUGAGACCUCUUACCAUUGUAGCAGCAAAAGCAUCCACGGCUAGUGUUUUCCAAGCUCACUGCUACUUGUUGCAGUCUAGCAGUGUUGUGUCUUCUGAAAUUCCUACCUUUCAUGAUGGAUGUAAAAGAAGUGCCAAUUUAUUAAGCUCUUAGUAUGUGCCAGAUGCUCCAUAUAUGUUACUUUUGAUCUUCAGAAACACUCAGCAACUUACUGCUUCUCCUCACUCCCAAUUACAUAGAUGAUGAAAUUGAAGCAGAGUAGUUUGCCUAGGAUUACAGAGCUAGGAGGGACCAGAGUUGGGAUUCUCCCUCAGUUCUAAUACACAGUAUGCCACAUUUCCUGUCGAGUAGUAACAAAGCUUCUAAGAAAUCUGAGUUUUCAUUUGUUAAAACUGAAUUUUUAAGAAAUGUAGACAGGAGCACUAAGUACUCUACAGUUUAAUGUUAAUAAUGGUACAAGUAUAUAACCAGUUUCUCAUGCACUGGCAUAACAUACUUCAGAGGGUACACCAGGGCUGGAUGAAUAUCUGAACCCAAAAAUAUCUGAGACAGGUCUCAGUUAACUCAGAAAGUUUAUUUUGCCAAGUUUGAGGACAUGCACCCAUGACACAGCCUCAGGUGGUCCUGACAACACGUGCCCAAGGUAGUUAGGGCAAAGCUUUUUUUUAUACACUUUAGAGAGACAGGAGAUAUCAAUCAAUAUAUAUAAGAUGUACAUUGGUUAUGUCCAGAAAGACAGGACAACUUAAGCAGGGAGGGGGCUUCCAGGUCUUAUGUAGGUGAGAGAUAAAUGGUUGCAUUCCUUUGAGUUUCUGACUAGCCUUUCCAAAGGAGGCAAUCAAAUAUGCAUUUAUCUUAGUGAGCAGAGGGGUGACUUUGAAUAGAAUGGGAGGCAGGUUUGCCCUAAACAGUUCCCAGCUUGACUCUUCCGUUUAGCUUAGUGAUGUUGGGGCCCCAAGAUUUAUUUUCCUUUCACACUUCUUCCAUUUUCUUUUCAAAAAUCUUUUGAAGAAAGCAUUUUAGAACAAAAUGAGUCUCUGCUCUCAUGGCUAGGAUAGUUUAUUCCUACAGGGGUAGGUCCCAAGUUAUUAGGAAAGCUCAUUUUUAGCAGGUUGAGAAGUCUCAUGACCUGUGAAGAGAAAAUAGUAGGAGGAAGGGAGAAAAACAAUAAACAAGAGAACAAUCCUAGAAAAUCUAUAUAGACCACGUUACUUUGAAGUCCAUACAUCAGUAGGUAGGUAUGAAAGUGGCUUAUGUACCUAAAUAGAUUGCUUUUAUUUUAUUCUGAAGUUUAAGUUGUCUAGAUUCAGUUUGCAGGACUUUAGAAAGUACAGCUUAGUUUUCAAUUAUUUCGAAUUAGGAAAAAUGGGGUGAGGGGAAGGAAAAGAAGGAAAAAAAUUGAAAACAUUAUUUUGGAGACUUGUAGCCAGGAAAAAUUAGAAUUCAGUCUAAACUGUAGAAAAUAAUAAAAAUAGAAAAACAUUAGGCAAGACUAAAAUCUAACAACAGGUGCACUAUAGUUUUUGAAAUGUAUUUUUUCUCUCUCUAGUUUCCCAUUUUUACUAAAAACAAAUCAUAGAAGAACCAAUUUGCUUUAUUAUACUUGGCCAGAUUAUUUGUAUGAAGUGAAGCAAGAAUAAUUAUUUUUCACAUAGGCUUUUAAAAUUAGCUUUGAUGGACUUCUUCCAUAGAAGGAAUCUCACAUAAGGCUUUUUUAAAGCCAAGCCCAGCCACGGAUUUGUACCAUCAAAUACCUAUGAGUUGGGUGAAUUAUUCUCCUUUUGAGUCCCAACAUAACUUACGUCUCUUGGGCCUGUCAGAAAGUGACAUUCUUUACUUACCACAGGUCAGGAACACCGUUCAGGGACUGUGCAGACAAGGUAUGAGGCCAGUUUCUCCAAGGGGUUUUUAUUGGCUCUAUAAAUCAAGUUUAAUACCUUAAAGGAAAGCACACCAUUCCAGCCAAAGACUCAGUAAAACAACCAGUUUCUCCAAUUGUGUCCUGUUACAAAUAAAAACAGAUUCUUAUUUCA